UCGAAGUACGACCAUUCACUGCAAAGGUAGAGUGAUUCAAAUUUCGAAAAAUCCGCCAUUUUGUUCUAUAUUUAGUAACACAAUGUCCGAUUUUUCGAACUUUGAACCAUUCUAUCUUUGCAGCGAAUGGUCGUAUUUCGA